AGGUCCAGAAAGUGCCUACUCACCUUGUGGCCAGCCUGUCACAUUAAAGACUACAGCUUGCCUGAUCUGCUCAUACCAGGAUCAGCCAGGCUGUGAUGAAAAUGCCAGGAGCAAGGAGGUUCUCCUCAUCUUUCUGUCUCUUUGUCCUGCGCCCACUUGUACUAGAGCCCACAUCGUCACCUUGCCUCUGCCCUUCACACGUCUAUCUAGAUGAGCCCAUCUGGAUGGAAAGAAUGGAUGCCCUAUUCUUUCAGUAACCGCUGAGGUUU